CUGUACACAUACUGGGGAAAAAAAAAAAAAAAAAAAAAAAAAAAAAAAAAAAAAAAAAA
rnacentral:ribozyme from 13 species